ensembl:lncRNA
UGACAGGAAGUGAAACAGUAAAGGUCACAGAAGUCACACUGUUUGACAGCUCAGGUCCGACAGAGGUCAAAGGAUCAUUGCAGUCAUUAGGAAGCAACGAUUUCCUGGUGACAUUUAGUGGAAUCCCAGCAGGUGAGUUUGUGCUUAUCCUGAAAGGAGAGGCCAGCAGCUCCACUUCCAGGUCCACUUCAAGCAGCUUCCAGAGACAAGCGUCCACACAGAUCAAGACCUCCAGCAUCUCUGUCACUGCUGAAGCCAAUAAUACCAACAUCGAGCCGGGCACCACUAUCUCCAUCCCCUUCACAGUCGCCGCAACUACUGAUGGAGUUAUAACUGACUCUGCAACUGAGACAUUUACAGUGCGAGUCAGCAAUGACCGCAGUUAUACUUCCACUUCACCCAGCAGUGUUACUACUGUAGCAGGCAGUGGUGGUAAAGCCAAUGGCACCGUGACCCUAACAGCUCCAUCCAGUGCUGCAUCAGGAUCAGACGUGACCUUCACCAUUGAGGCAGAAAACGCCGCUGCCACCGAC